CGCAGUCGUGGGAGUGUCCCAUCUGUCGAGGAGUGUGUAACUGCAGUCUGUGUCGUAAGCGGGAUGGACGCUGUGCGACCGGGGCUCUCACCAGACUCGCCAAAUUCUAUGGACACGAUAACGUCCGGGACUAUCUGGAGAGUCUGCAGAAGGACGUGGAGUGAAGACGAUCAUCCGUGACCUGAUGGGAAUCAGACUGAUCGUUCACUCCUGACACUUUUAAAGUUGAGCAAGAAAACACUGAGAGUUUCCAUCAGUGUUCAGCAAUGAUAUGCAAACCAGUCCUUACUUUUAUACUUCGUGAUGUUGUACUGUUUUUACUGAUUUUGUUUUAAUGAAUCAUACUGUUCUCCUGCUAAUUAAAGGCAGAGAUAUCAUGAGAUCCUGUAACAGAUGUUUCUGAUUACAGAGCCUUUUCUCUCAUUUGCACAACUUGUUUUUCUCUGAAAACCUUUUAUUGGAAAUGAGUUUAAAUAAAGGUCCUUUUAUCUCACA